GAUGAACGCUGGCGGCGCGCCUAACACAUGCAAGUCGAACGAUUAAAGCACCUUCGGGUGUGUAUAAAGUGGCGAACGGCUGAGUAACACGUGGGCAACCUGCCCCUUUCAUUGGGAUAGCCACGGGAAACCGUGGAUAAUACCGAAUACUUCGAGACUUCCGCAUGGAAGACUCGAGAAAGCUCCGGCGGAGAGGGAUGGGCCCGCGGCCUGUUAGCUUGUUGGUGGGGUAACGGCCUACCAAGGCAAUGAUGGGUAGCUGGGUUGAGAGACCGACCAGCCAGAUUGGGACUGAGACACGGCCCAGACUCCUACGGGAGGCAGCAGUGGGGAAUCUUGCACAAUGGGCGAAAGCCUGAUGCAGCGACGCCGCGUGCGGGAUGAAGGCCUUCGGGUUGUAAACCGCUUCAGCAGGGACGAGGCGAAAGUGACGGUACCUGCAGAAGAAGCCCCGGCUAACUACGUG
rnacentral:rRNA from 1 species